AGGUGAAGAAAGUAGAUGAUCUACUUUCUUCACCUACUUUGUAUGGUGAUACCAAUCCAUCAAUUCAGAAAAAUGAUUAAAUUAACAAAACAAUUAUGGAAAUGUAGUGACUGUCUGAAUGAUGAUGCCUUUCUAGAAAAUUCUAUUGAGAAAGAAAACCUCUUGAAUCAUAAUAUUGGUGAGAUAUUUCAAAGUAUAAUAGAGACUGCUUUGUGUAAUUAUAAGACUAGAUUAUGCAGGAAAUUUUGAAAUCUUUUAAUGAUGGUAUAAAAGUUAAAAUAAAAUCAAUAAUGAGAAUAUCGUAUCCAUGUACUUGGAG
rnacentral:lncRNA from 1 species